AACUGAUACUACCUGCGGGACCUGCGGAGGGAUCAUUAGUGAACGCCCUCACGGGCUUAUAACUAUUCCAAACCUCUGUGAACCGUGCCCUUCGGGGCUAUUUUACAAACAUGGUGUAAUGAACGUCAUAUAUCAUAACAAAACAAAACUUUUAACAACGGAUCUCU
rnacentral:misc_RNA from 1 species